rnacentral:rRNA from 1 species
UGACGUCAAGUCAUCAUGGCCCUUACGGGCAGGGCUACACACGUGCUACAAUGGCGCAUACAAAGAGAAGCGACCUCGCGAGAGCAAGCGGACCUCAUAAAGUGCGUCGUAGUCCGGAUCGUAGUCUGCAACUCGACUCCGUGAAGUCGGAAUCGCUAGUAAUCGUAGAUCAG